rnacentral:rRNA from 1 species
UAGGGAAUCUUCCACAAUGGACGGAAAGUCUGAUGGAGCAACGCCGCGUGAGUGAAGAAGGUUUUCGGAUCGUAAAGCUCUGUUGUUGGUGAAGAAGGAUAGAGGCAGUAACUGGUCUUUAUUUGACGGUAAUCAACCAGAAAGUCACGGCUAACUACGUGCCGG